UUGUUUAUUUUAAAAAAUUAUAAACUCAGACAUUAUAAGAAUAAAGAGUUAAGGGUUUCCUUUGGCAAAGACACAGCCACUCUUCACUUCCAAAAAAUUAAUUUAUAAGAGAAAAGUCACUGGUUGCUCAGCAUAUAUGGCUCAACAAACGCUUUACCAAAGUAUUGAAAAUCUGAAUUACACAAAAGGGUGGGAGAUUUCCUGCAAGCAGGAAAAAAUCUCGGUAAUGAUCCUUCCGCAGGUUCACCUACGGAAA
rnacentral:misc_RNA from 1 species